rnacentral:rRNA from 1 species
UGAGCAAUCUGCCCUUCUCAUCGGAAUAAGCGUUGGAAACGACGUCUAAUGCCGAAUACGACCUCCUUUCGCAUGAUCGGAGGUGGAAAGCUCCGGCGGAGAAGGAUGAGCUCGCGGCCUAUCAGCUAGUUGGUGGGGUGAUGGCCUACCAAGGCGACGACGGGUAGCCGGCCUGAGAGGGUGACCGGCCACACUGGGACUGAGACACGGCCCAGACUCCUACGGGAGCAG